CGGUUCGAGUCCGCUUACCUCCACUGAUCAAUCUCCUGACAACUAACUCGAAGGAGAUAGGCUUUGCUUGAUGUGACUUAGAUUUGGUUGAUUGAAUGAACCUAGCUUCCUAUCAUUCCGACCUUAAGAAAUAGAACUUAGAGAAGGUUGAUAUGACACUGGGCUCACUGGAAUUCUGAGGAAUUUCAGGAAAGUUCAGUA
rnacentral:misc_RNA from 1 species